CAAUGAUGCCGUCCUUUCUACCCCAUGUCCCAAGCUCCCAGAGCAGUGCUUGGUAAAAAAAAAAGGGUACUUACUAAAAUGUUGGCUGAAUAAAAGGAAGACUUUGAAAAAUUAAGUUAUUUUGUACCCCUAUAGUGUGAAUUCUUUUUAUUGAAAUUUAAUACACUUACAGAAAAAAAUGUACAUAUUAUAAUUGUUCAUAGAGCUCAGUGAAUUUUCACAAACUGAACAAAUCUGUAAACCACACCCAGAUUGAGAAAGGGAACAUGACAAACACCCUGCAAGUCUCCCUUGUGCCCUGUGCUGGGGGGUGCCAACACCACCACCUCCUAGUCUGAUGAUGUACUAGGAGAUUCACAGACUCAGCCUGUAGUCAUACUCAUGGCUAUGUUUUACUACAGCGAAAGGCUAGGAAGCAAAAUCAGCAAAGGAAAAAAGCGCAUGGACAAAGUCCAGGGAAACCAGGUGUAAGCCUCCCACAGUCCUCUCCCAGCAGAGUCACAUAGGACACAAUUCCUCCAGCAAUCAGUUGUGACAACCCAUGUGCAAUGUUGUAUACAAGGGAAGCUCAUUACAGACUCAGUGUUCAGGGUUCUCAUUGGGAGCUGCUCACCUCAUCCUCUGCCUAACACAUAUGAAAAUCUGACUCCCAGAAGGAAAGCAGAUGUUGGGCAUAACCCACAUUGUUUGUACGAACAGUUUAGGCACAGUGAGCCACUCUUAUCAUUUAGGGAGUAAUGAGAACCCUCCUGAAAUCCAAGCUUUCAGAUGCCAGCCAAGGGCCAGCCUUGCAAACAGGCCUGCUUUCUCAUCUCUUUUCACACAGUCCAUCUCCUUAUUGAGGCUUCUUUACAGCAAAAUUAUUAUUAGUAGGACCACAUGCAAAAGGGUGAGACCAACCUCAAAUAUGGACCUCAGUUCUUCCUGGUAGGGGUCCUGGACUUAACCAGCUAAAAUAAAUCCCAUUAACCAUAAAGUCUAUCUUAGGAAGCCAGCUAAUUUUUUUAUUUUUGUAGGGACUACAGGUGCACACCACCACACCCAGCUAAUUUUUUUAUUUUUGUAUUUUUACUUUUCACCAUGUCGGUCAGGCUGGUCUCAAACUCCUGACCUCAGGUGAUCUGCCCACCUCAGCCUCCCAAAGUGCCGGGAUUACAGGCAUGAGCCACCGUGCCCAGCCCUUAAUUGCUGUCUGAACCUUUUUUUUUUUUUUCAACCUGACCUGAGGCAUCAAUUCAGGCACAGUAUAACUCUGACCAGUAAGCGGAAGCUAACCCAAAUGCUUUCCAGGGCUGAGGGGACAUCAUGAGAGUUGUGGUCAUGUACAGAAGCACAGUCCCAGGGGCACAGGUGGUACCCCUGUAAACAAAGAAUUUGCAAUAUUAGGGCACCUCAAGCAGGACAUCCAUUAGGCUGUACAGGUGAACAGACCUCCUACCAGGGGAACUCCUGCCCAAGUGUUUCCAGUCCCAUCUGAAAAGUUCCCAGAGUCCUUGGCUUCCAAGGGACUGCCUGAAGGCAGCACUGGGAAUUUUCCUUCAGCAAGAGGAGGCUUCCAGGGAUCAAGCCUCCCCAGGUGCCAGGCUUUAAUUAUUUUCUCCAAUAUUACAAAAACAGUCGUGCCCUGUUCAGCAAUCAUAACAUUGCAUUUUUUCAACCAUCUCUUACUCUCAGCUAGGCCUUUCCUCUGGAAGGGUUGUAUGUAAGAGGCACAAAAGCAUUUUUGUAGAUAAACUUUUUUUUUUUUUUUUUUGAGAUAUGGUCUGGCUCUGUUGCCCAGGCUAGAGUGCGGUGGCACGAUUUUGGCUCACUGCAACCUCCGC
rnacentral:lncRNA from 1 species